GACAACGUGCCAGAGUGGUUAAUGGGUAUGACUCGAACGCCUCCCUCUCAGGUCUACUAGAUAUCAUAUGGCUUCGGCCGCGAAGGUUCGAAUCCUUCCGUUGUCG
rnacentral:tRNA from 1 species